CGAACGCUGGCGGCGCGUUUAAGCAUGCAAGUCGAGCGGCAAGGGCCUUCGGGCCCUAGAGCGGCGGACGGGUGAGUAACACGUGGACAAUCUGCCCCCCGGCCCGGGAUAGCCCAGGGAAACCUGGAUUAAUACCGGAUGAGACGGGACCCGCGAUGGCGGGAUCCGGGAAAGGCGCUGCGGCGCCGCCGGGGGAUGAGUCUGCGUCCCAUUAGCUAGACGGCGGGGUAACGGCCCACCGUGGCGACGAUGGGUAGCCGGCCUGAGAGGGUGGACGGCCACAUUGGAACUGAGACACGGUCCAGACUCCUACGGGAGGCAGCAGCUAAGAAUCUUCCGCAAUGGGCGAAAGCCUGACGGAGCCGACGCCGCGUGAACGAAGAAGGCCGUGAGGUUGUAAAGUUCUUUUCGGGAGGGGGAACAACCGUGGCAGGGAAUGGCCGCGGGAUGACGUGAAUCCCGGAAUAAGCCCCGGCUAACUACGUGCCAGCCGCCGC
rnacentral:rRNA from 1 species